rnacentral:rRNA from 1 species
CAUAUCAAAAAGCGGAGGAAAAGAAACCAACAGGGAUUGCCUUAGUAACGGCGAGUGAAGCGGCAAAAGCUCAAAUUUGAAAUCUGGCACCUUCGGUGUCCGAGUUGUAAUUUGAAGAAGGUAACUUUGGAGUUGGCUCUUGUCUAUGUUCCUUGGAACAGGACGUCACAGAGGGUGAGAAUCCCGUGCGAUGAGAUGCCCAAUUCUAUGUAAAGUGCUUUCGAAGAGUCGAGUUGUUUGGGAAUGCAGCUCUAAGUGGGUGGUAAAUUCCAUCUAAAGCUAAAUAUUGGCGAGAGACCGAUAGCGAACAAGUACAGUGAUGGAAAGAUGAAAAGAACUUUGAAAAGAGAGUGAAAAAGUACGUGAAAUUGUUGAAAGGGAAGGGCUUGAGAUCAGACUUGGUAUUUUGCGAUCCUUUCCUUCUUGGUUGGGUUCCUCGCAGCUUACUGGGCCAGCAUCGGUUUGGAUGGUAGGAUAAUGACUAAGGAAUGUGGCUCUACUUCGGUGGAGUGUUAUAGCCUUGGUUGAUACUGCCUGUCUAGACCGAGGACUGCGUCUUUUGACUAGGAUGUUGGCAUAAUGAUCUUAAGCCACCCGUCUUGAAAC